AUUUUAACCAUGUUAUGCUGCUUAACUUGUUUCUUGGUAAUGAUUUUUUUUUUUGUUCUUCUUUUUUAAUUAUACAUAUGCGUGCUUAUUUCAGGAUGCCUUUGCUUUUGAGAGAUGAAAAGCGAAAAUGCUUAACUUCUCUAUUGGAUAUGGGAAAACUCUUGUUGGGCUGGCCUGUGAUUGUAAGCGGCACUACCAAAGAUCAUAAAGGCAACGGGGUAUGAAAUAAUUAACGAAGCGAUGGAAAAGGUGUUGUGUUGGGUGGGGCCUACUAGAUGCGUCAUCCUAUUUUAGAUCCAAGAACCAAAAGUCUUCUCUAUGCUUAAUGUGGUCCACCUGGAUCACAGAUGGGGCUGACUUUUUAAGCUACUGGGUUAAGUGG